UCCAUCAUCUGGGUCGUUGGGAAUCCUUCCAAUAGGCCGUUGAUUUAUCAGGUUAGCAGCUUCCAGCAAGUAUGUGUAUAGUUCAAAUGGGGUCAAAACUUGUUCACCAAUGGCAGUCUUCAGGGCUUUCUUUGAACUCUUCACCAUCGCUUCGGCGCAUCCGUUGUGGUGGGGCGCGACUGGAGUUAUAAACUUCCACUCCAUUCCUUUCUCAGCGCUGAAUUCCUUUAACUCUUUUUCAUUCCAUCCCUUUAUCAUCUCUCGGAGUUCACGCUCUGCUCCUACCAGUUGAGUACCGUUAUCAGAGAUCAUCAAGGCUGGUUGUCCUCGUACUGCGAAGAAUCUGCGUAGCGUUUGUAGGAAUUCCAUUGUGGAGUAGUCGACUGCGAGUUCCAGAUGCACAGCUCGGGUAUUCAAGCAAGUAAAGAGAACGCCAUAAUGCUUCGUCGUCUUGCUUCGACCUAUCUUAACGUGGUAUGGACCGAAGUAAUCGCAUGCCGUGCGAUGGAAUGGUGGUGUAAGUGGCUCCAGACGGGUAAUUGGUAAAUCUGACAUGAACUGCUGUUCGACUUUCGCUUGAAUUCGGCGGCAGUCUACGCAUUGAAACUUUACCGACUUAGCAAGAUCAUGACAUCGAAUAAUCCAAUACUUUUUCUUGAUUUUUGCGACGGUUGUUGCAACUCCUGAAUGGCCAAUUUGGUGGUAAUAUCGAGUAAUCAGAAGAAACGUCCAGUGUUCACGUGGGAGUAAUACCGGGUGCUUAGCGUCGUAAGAGAUCACUGCUUUGUUUACGCGUCCUCCAACUCUGAUAAUACCCUCUUUGUCGAUGAAUGGCGUUAGU
rnacentral:lncRNA from 1 species